AGCACUGCUCAGGAAAGCUGCCGUUUAGCUUGCAAAGGGUUAACAUACGUUGGGCUUGCAGACUCCCUGCGUGUGACGCACUGUCUCGAUGACGGAAAGUCUAACAGGAAAGGCAGACUCAAAAAGGUCCCUGUGCAGCGAGGGCCCAAGGGUUUUGGCAUCAGUCCCACUUGCCUGCUACUGGCCCCUCUCCCCCUCUGCAAUUAUGGUGUCCUUUUUGCCCAUAAAUUCACCCCGCAAUCCCCAUAAGCCGCCCAGCGAUUUCUAGUGAUAAAAUGGCAUCACACCUGACCCAAAGUCUCCAUGUGUGUUUUUGUGUGUGUGUGUGUGAGAGAGAGAUUGAAUAUGAAUGAGGUCAGUUGGAAGGGUGGACACAGCAGUGACAAGGCUUCAUAUGUUAAUAUGCUGCACAUGUGGCUCUGGCAUUGGAGGGCUGCGGUGGUCAGAAUGACCCCCUACCCAUUUCCACUCCAUCCCAUUCAUCCCCACUGAAUGUGACUCUCCAUUCACGCUGUUUUCACAGAGGAGGGAGGGAAGGAGGGAGGGGGAGGGGGACGGUGGUCUCAGAGGGAGAAACGUGGUCUUUCUCUUCUCCUGGCUCAGAGAGAAGGAAAAACAAUUGGUGUGCAAAUGGAUGCCUCUCCCUUAUUCCUGGAUGACCCCUCCCUCCCUCCGUCCCCCCUCGUCCCCCCUCCAUGCAUCCUUUCUGUCGUCUUUGAGUGUUUAGAAAAAGGGCCACAGUGGGCUACACUAUGAGCAUCUGUGUAAAAUCUGAAUAAAUAAAAUAGUGUAGGGUGUAUCCUGAGGUAAUGUGUUUAUACUGUGUGUGUGUGUGCACGUGUGUGUGUGUGUCCACUCACUUGUCUGUGUGCUAGCAAACCUGUCAAAGGAGAAAGGCCCCCAAUGUCCUCUGUAAUUUUCAUAGGUCAGAACCGACAAUGGGCACUUUGAUAGAGAAGCUGUGGAGAUGUAAAUCAGCCAAUGGAGGGAGACAAAACAACUGUCCUCCCACUGCCCCCCACACCCUCCCCCCAAAAAAGGGGAAUUUAAGUUUAAAUGAGUGAGAGUGAGGGAGCAAGAGAAGAGAGAGAAAGAGCAAGAAAGACAUCCCCUCUGCCUUUAUUUUGAUGAUAGUCUCCUUUUCAGGUUCUCUGUGAGUUGCCGGUGGCGGUAGCAGCGAAGUUCUGUGCCGCUAAAGGAAUUAUUUUAGUCAGUUUGUCUCAUUCCUGGGAAAGUCUGGAGCAUCUUCUCUAUUGCCCGGCACCUGGAGUGAGUCGCUGGGAAGCAGGACAAUAGCAUUGAGGUUGGUGGGUCGGCGGAGCACGGUCCUGCUCGGCUCCAGACUUGGACACGCUCCAGGCCUCCCCUAAUCCCAUCACUACAGCAGCCCCGGGGCUGAAAAGACCCUCUGGAGAGGGCGGGAAAGCCUCCAGCAGCAGUCACAUUGAGAAUAUGCCUCUGUAGAAUAUGUAAAUAUGUCUGUAUACUUCUAAUAAAAACAAGGAAGAGUGA